rnacentral:misc_RNA from 1 species
UAAAUGCGAUAAGUAAUGUGAAUUGCAGAAUUCAGUGAAUCAUCGAAUCUUUGAACGCAUCUUGCGCUCCUUGGUAUUCCUUGGAGCAUGCCUGUUUGAGUAUCAUGAAAUCUUCAAAGUAAAUCUUUUGUUAACUCAAUUGGUUUCUACUUUGGUAUUGGAGGUCUUUGCAGCUUCACACCUGCUCCUCUUUGUUCAUUAGCUGGAUCUCAGUGUUAUGCUUGGUUCCACUCGGCGUGAUAAGUUAUCUAUCGCUGAGGACACUGUAAAAGGUGGCCAAGGUAAAUGCAGAUGAACCGCUUCUAAUAGUCCAUUGACUUGGACAAUACUUUUAUGAUCUGAUCUCAAAUCAGGUAGGACUACCCGCUGAACUUAAGC